rnacentral:rRNA from 1 species
CAGUAGCCACGGUAAUACGUAGGUCCCGAGCGCUGUCCGGAUUUAUUGGGCGUAAAGGGAGCGCAGGCGGUUUAGUAAGUCUGAAGUUAAAGGCAUUGGCUCAACCAAUGUAUGCUUUGGAAACUGUUAGACUUGAGUGCAGAAGGGGAGAGUGGAAUUCCAUGUGUAGCGGUGAAAUGCGUAGAUAUAUGGAGGAACACCGGUGGCGAAAGCGGCUCUCUGGUCUGUCACUGACGCUGAGGCUCGAAAGCGUGGGUAGCGAACAGGAUUAGAUACCCCCGUAGUCCCUGUCUCUUAUACA